AGUUAGACUUAGUUAACCGCAGUUAGACCUAGUUAACCGCAGUCAGACUUAGUUAACCGUAGUUUAACGUAGUUAGGCCUAUAAAUGUAGUUUGGAUUUAAAGAAACCAUGGAUUUCAAAGUAGUUCAAAACAUCUGUACGGUGAUCUUGGAUGACAAGUCCCUGCUGCGACCGUAGUUUGGAGGUAGUCUACCCUAGUUAAAUCCAGUUGAACGUAAUUGCCCUCUUUGUGAUGUCCGUAAAUUGUGUUAUGUCCGUGGGUUUGUCUUGUUUAAUUGUGUGGUGCAGAACUUACUAUUAUGAAAGACAACUGGCGAGAUCAAUGACAAUAAUCAAAAGAAAUUGCGCAUAAACACAAGAUGGGAUAUCUCAUUUAUCAAAUUGUGCAGGUCUAAAUAAAUAUCUGACAAUAAAUGAAAUAUUACUAUACAAUUUAUCACAUCAGAAAUUAAUUUAUAAUAAUUUUACUCUCGUUACUUAUCUGCGACAUGUUUUCAUGGUGGUUUCUUUCAAAAAUGAUUAAUAACUAUAGUUUCAAAUAUUGCUAUAAAAUCACAUCCAUAUUAUGCAAUACUCAUCUGGACGAUUGUUUAAUUUGUUACUUAGUCAUAAAUGGGUGUGGUAAUUUUAUCAAAUCCCGUAAAGAUGUUUGUAUGCCUCGUGGUGAUCACUCUUGUGUCUGUUGGUGCUGGUACAAAGAAUGAAUUUACGUGUUUUAAGUCUAUGAAGAGGUGUAGGAAUUGGUGUGGUGGGCAUGCCCAAAGUCCUGAUGGUGCUGGAUAUUACUGCAACGAUUACUGUCAAAUUGUCGAAAGAAAACGGUUUGGUUAUUGUGAAGUACAAACAAAUACAUUAUAUUGCCCAAACCAGGUUGAUAUCCCAUAUGCUUACCAAUGUAGAUGUUCAAAUGAACCACCAUCUCAGUCUUCGAAUGAAGUCGGUCCCGAUCCAUUGUCUCGUUCUGGAAGUAAAUCGAAGAAAGACUCCAAAUCUGAUUCUGAAAAUAACUCCAAAUCUGAUUCUGAAAAUAACUCCAAAUCUGACUCUGAAAAUAACUCCAAAACUGACUCUGAAAAUAACUCCAAAUCUAAUUCUGAUUCUAACUCCAAUUCUGAUUCUAACUCCAAUUCUGAUUCUAACUUAAAAUCUGAUUCUAACUCAAAAUUUGAUUCUAACUCUAAAUCUGAUUCUUCCGAAGACGAAAAUGGGAGAAUUUGUUUCAGUACCAGACAGAGUUGUGAGGCUUGGUGUGGUGGAUACGAUGAGAGUCCGUUUGGUGAUGGAUAUUACUGUAAUGAGUAUUGUCAGUUUGUGGAGGGUCUGGCUGGCGGUCGAUGUGUAUACCACGGUCAUACCGGAACAUGCCCAAAUAGAAUCGGCGUACCAUAUGCGUACCAAUGCUUAUGUUAUGGAAGAAAAUCUCCAACAAAUUGGAGGGGUUGAUGAAUAAAACUGACGCAUUGUAUUCCAGUAAUAAUAAUAAAUUAUACAGCAAGCCUA